rnacentral:rRNA from 1 species
GACGAACGCUGGCGGCGUGCCUAAUACAUGCAAGUCGAACGAGAGCGCCCGGUGCUUGCACUGGUCAAUCUAGUGGCGAACGGGUGAGUAACACGUGGGUAACCUGCCCAUCAGAGGGGGAUAACAUCCGGAAACGGAUGCUAAAACCGCAUAGGUCUUCGAACCGCAUGGUUUGAAGAGGAAAAGAGGCGCAAGCUUCUGCUGAUGGAUGGACCCGCGGUGCAUUAGCUAGUUGGUGAGGUAACGGCUCACCAAGGCCGUGAUGCAUAGCCGACCUGAGAGGGUGAUCGGCCACAUUGGGACUGAGACACGGCCCAAACUCCUACGGGAGGCAGCAGUAGGGAAUCUUCCGCAAUGGACGCAAGUCUGACGGAGCAACGCCGCGUGAGUGAAGAAGGUUUUCGGAUCGUAAAACUCUGUCGUUAGAGAAGAACAAGUGCUAGAGUAACUGUUAGCGCCUUGACGGUAUCUAACCAGAAAGCCACGGCUAACUACGUG